AAACGACGUGCACUUCAAUUCUAAAAACAACACGUGGGAAAUGCAUCUGAUUAAAAUCGGAACUAUGAGCUUAAAUAGUACCCAUCCUACAUCCCGGUCCAGGAAGACUAACACAACUUCAACUAAAAUAUGAUGGCGGCCGGGAAGAUGCUGAACGAAAUGAUUGCAUGGCGGCGUACAUUUGCUGAAGAUAGUAAGAAUGAUAACGACGGCCCGAAAACUGAUGUAGAUCUCUGUAUUCAUCUCUACAUAUGAAGAAUAUUGCAUGCUUAUGGAGGGAGUCAGUAAGUUAUACGCAUUUGUGCAUACAUGCAUGCAAACACGCAUGUAGACAGUUAUCGAAUUUUUUCCACAUCCUGUAUGAAAUGCUGACGUCAUAACGAUUUUGAAACUUUGAGAAUGUGAAAUAAUUCACUUUGGGGACGUUGAAACGCGAAUCUAAUAAAGCUAUGAAUAAUAAAAUAACA